rnacentral:rRNA from 1 species
AUUGAACGCUGGCGGCAGGCCUAACACAUGCAAGUCGAGCGAGCGGCGGACGGGUGAGUAAUGUAUGGGGACUGCCCGCUAGAGGGGGAUAACUACUGGAUACGGUAGCUAAUACCGCAUACUAUCGGAUAACCCAUAUGGGAUUAGCUAGUAGGUGGGGUAAUGGCUCACCUAGGCGACGAUCCCUAGCUGGUCUGAGAGGAUGAUCAGACAAACUGGAACUGAGACACGGCCCAAACUCCUACGGAGGCAGCAGUGGGGAAUAUAGCACAAUGGGCGCAAGCCUGAUGCAGCCAUGCCGCGUGGAUGAAGAAGGCCCUAUGGUUGUAAAGUACUUUCAGUGGGGAGGCGUUACCGACAGAAGAAGCACCGGCUAACUCCGUGCCAGCAGCCGCGGUAAUAC